CCUACGGGUGGCAGCAGUGGGGAAUAUUGGACAAUGGGCGAAAGCCUGAUCCAGCCAUGCCGCGUGUGUGAAGAAGGCCUUCGGGUUGUAAAGCACUUUCAGUGGGGAAGAAAGCCUUGGGGCUAAUACCCUCGAGGAAGGACAUCACCCACAGAAGAAGCACCGGCUAACUCCGUGCCAGCAGCCGCGGUAAUACGGAGGGUGCGAGCGUUAAUCGGAAUUACUGGGCGUAAAGCGCGCGUAGGCGGUCUGAUAAGCCGGUUGUGAAAGCCCCGGGCUCAACCUGGGAACGGCAUCCGGAACUGUCAGGCUAGAGUGCAGGAGAGGAAGGUAGAAUUCCCGGUGUAGCGGUGAAAUGCGUAGAGAUCGGGAGGAAUACCAGUGGCGAAGGCGGCCUUCUGGACUGACACUGACGCUGAGGUGCGAAAGCGUGGGUAGCAAACAGGAUUAGAUACCCGAGUAUUC
rnacentral:rRNA from 1 species